UCAUUUUCAUGUGUUCUCCAAAAAUCUAACUUGAACGUUGAAGGAUUUUCACCGAAGCUAACUCCGAUUGAGGACUUGUCUUACAGAUCGUACUGCUACCGACCUACCAUUGCCGCCCAACUCCAUCCAAUCUGAUCCAAGGAUGGAUUUCUGCCAUAACAAAAUGGCAUUGGAGGAAGGAUCAGGCCCCUUUAUGCGAAGGGGUGAAUAUUCAAUAAAAAAAGUUUCAUCAUACUAUUCCAACAUCGAUCGAAUCCGAUCAUCCACAGAAUUGCCAAAUACAAAUCAGGAC
rnacentral:lncRNA from 1 species